rnacentral:rRNA from 1 species
GUGAGGAAUUUUCCGCAAUGGGCGAAAGCCUGACGGAGCAAUGCCGCGUGAAGGAUGAAGGCCUAUGGGUUGUAAACUUCUUUUCUCAGAAAAGAAUUAUGACGGUAUCUGAGGAAUAAGCAUCGGCUAACUCUGUGCCAGCAGCCGCGGUAAGACAGAGGAUGCAAGCGUUAUCCGGAAUGAUUGGGCGUAAAGCGUCUGUAGGUUGUUUAAAAAGUAUUCUGUCAAAGAUUAGGGCUUAACCCUAGAUAGGCAGAAUAAACUUUUAAGCUAGAAUUUGGUAGAGGCAGAGGGAAUACCCGGUGGAGCGGUGAAAUGCGUAGAUAUCGGGAGGAACACCAAAGGCGAAGGCACUCUGCUGGGCCAAUACUAACACUGAGAGACGAAAGCGAGGGGAGCAAAUGGGAUUAGAAACCCCUGUAGUCC